CCUACGGGUGGCAGCAGUGGGGAAUAUUGGACAAUGGGGGGAACCCUGAUCCAGCGACGCCGCGUGAGUGAAGAAGUAUUUCGGUAUGUAAAGCUCUAUCAGCAGGGAAGAAAGGAAUGACGGUACCUGACUAAGAAGCUCCGGCUAACUACGUACCAGCAGCCGCGGUAAUACGUAGGGGGAAAGCGUUAUCCGGAUUUACUGGGUGUAAAGGGGGCGUAGACGGUUACGCAAGUCUGGAGUGAAAGGCGGGGGCCCAACCCCCGGACUGCUUUGGAGACUGGAUAACUGGAGUGCAGGAGAGGUAAGUGGAAUUCCUAGUGUAGCAGUGAAAUGCGUAGAUAUUAGGAGGAACACCAGUGGCGAAGGCGGCUUACUGGACUGUAACUGACGUUGAGGCUCGAAAGCGUGGGGAGCAAACAGGAUUAGAUACCCCAGUAGUC
rnacentral:rRNA from 1 species